rnacentral:tRNA from 1 species
UGAUAAUUAGUUUAAAUAAAACGAAUGAUUUCGACUCAUUAAAUUAUGAGCAUCCUCAUAAUUAUCAA